rnacentral:lncRNA from 1 species
UCUCUUUCUCUUUGUCGUCGUAAGAUAAUACUCUUCCGAUCUUUUUUAUAAGAAACAAAAAAUAUAAAUCAUUAAGAUCAAAAAAACACAUGGUAAAUAGUUAUUUUUAUUUAAUACUACCGUAAAUUUAAAUUUAUUUCACAAAUAUCCUUAUUUAACUGCUCUUAAUUUCACUAACUUACUUUUUAAUAUUAUAUGAUAUAUAUCAUGAUAAACAAGCACGAACACAAUAGUUUGAGAAAAUGACAUAAUUAAGUGUCGGUGUUGUGUGAUUGACACAGACACCGCUAAUCUGACGAGUGUCCGUGUUUCAUUAAUAAAGGCACAAAUAAAAUUAAACAUCUAAUGUAUUUACAAAUGACCACAAAUAUUUGCACUUUUAUUUCUUAUAAAAAGGAUUGGAGAGGGAGUACAAUUCUAUCAAAAAAACAUGUCUAAAUAGAAUUUUUACAUUUUCCUAUUUCGUACAUGAGAAUAUAUGUUUCACAUUAUUACAUUAAAAUAUUAAGCCUAAAAGAUUACUGCAAAACUCACCUUCUACACAUAGAACAGAACAAUCCGAAUCCAUCUUCGAGAUCCCAAUCCACGCGCCACCAUCUUGGAAGAAUUUGUGUCCUUCAAAGAACAAUUCGAGAGUCAGAGUCCUCUGUGUUUGUUUGAGAGAAAAGUGGAGAAAUCAAGAUUUGUGCUAUUAGAUGCAGAGAAAACGUCGAAGGGACUACGAGGAUCCCAACUCCUAAUAUAAGAUCCACAACGUCUCACACUCUGACU